GAUGAAGAACGCAGUGAAAUGCGAUAAGUAAUGUGAAUUGCAGAAUUCAGUGAAUCAUCGAAUCUUUGAACGCACAUUGCGCCCGCCAGUAUUCUGGCGGGCAUGCCUGUUCGAGCGUCAUUUCAACCAUCAAGCCCCCGGCUUGUGUUGGGGACCUGCGGCUGCCACAGGCCCUGAAAAGCAGUGGCGGGCUCGCUGUCACACCGAGCGUAGUAGAUUUCAUCUCGCUCAGGGCGUGCUGCGGGUUCCGGCCGUUAAACCACCUUCAUAACCCAAGGUUGACCUCGGAUCAGGUAGGAAGACCCGCUGAACUUAAGCAUAUCAAUAAGCGGAGGA
rnacentral:misc_RNA from 1 species